UACGAGAAGGCAGCUACACGGCGACGUGAUGCUAAUCCCAAAACCUCUCUCAGUUCGGAUUGGAGUCUGCAACCCGACUCCAUGAAGCUGGAUUCGCUAGUAAUCGCGCAUCAGCCACGGCGCGGUGAAUACCGGUUCCCGGGCCUUGUACACACCGCCCGUCAAGCCAUGAAAGCCGGGGGUACCUGAAGUCCGUAACCGUAAGGAGCGGCCUAGGGUAAAACUGGUAAUUGGGGCUAAGUCGUAACAAGGUAGC
rnacentral:rRNA from 1 species